UACGGGGGGUGCGAGCGUUGUCCGGAAUCACUGGGCGUAAAGGGCUCGUAGGCGGUUUGUCGCGUCGGGAGUGAAAUCCACUGGCUUAACUGGUGGCUUGCUUUCGAUACGGGCAGACUGGAGGUAUGCAGGGGAGAACGGAAUUCCUGGUGUAGCGGUGAAAUGCGCGGAUAUCGGGAGGAACACCGGUGGCGAAGGCGGUUCUCUGGGCAUGUCCUGACGCUGAGGAGCGAAAGUGUGGGGAGCGAACAGG
rnacentral:rRNA from 1 species